UAGAGUCGCAAGGGGUGUCACAUGAUGUGGCUGAGAGGCAUACGCUAACCCUUUGAACCUGUUCCGUUCACACGGACGUAGGGAUGUGGCGAAAAUGCACG
rfam:Exiguobacterium sp. AT1b, complete genome.